AUGAUGUUGCCGCAUGCUUCUCUGCCCCGCCCCUUAUUGUAAAGUCUGAGUCUCAGACAGUGUGUGCGUGCGUGUGCGUGUGUGUGUGCGUGAGAGAGAGUGAUAGAGGGAGAGAGAGACAGAUGCACAGCUACAGGGGGAUUUUUAUUUAGUCAGAAAAGCAGACUUUAAUUCAUCUGUCAGACAUGUUUAAGCUCUGAACUGACCUCUGGGUGGAAUUGUACUUUUCCCUUCAUCAAAAAUGGAGGUGUUCUUCACCACAGUCCGGUCUGUAAAUGAAGCCUGCAGCUGAGCGAUGUGCAGCGUUCACUAUCCAAAUCUAAACAGCGUUCGAUCAUUCAGAGGAAUAGCAUCCUACUGCUGAAUGAAUUAAAACAUCGGAGCCCGGAAAGCAGACUCUGAGAAACAUGGUGUUUGUGUAUGAUAUUUGUCAUAGUUCAGAGACAGGAAAUACCAGCGCAGCUAAUAAGGCAAGUAACACAGACAAGCUGGGGCCUGAAGGGGCCAUAAGUCCCAGCAUCCUCCCUCCGUAUCCCCAUUUACGUUCCUAAGAUGGCUGACCUGGAUGACGUGGGUGCACACUAUGACCGCUGGUCACAUAACUCUUGAAACUAUUCUCAUAAAAGUGAGGAUCCUCUUUAUGUCUUUGUCAUUCUUUGCAUUGCAUCCUUAUUGCCUUACACCUAGAUUCCUUUGCUGGGGUUGCCAUAAUUAUGUGUUUAUUUUGUGGAGAGGUGCGGAGCUGGCGCAAGACAUUUCUCACUCCCAAGGUCGUAGGUUAAAGUGAAUUGGGGGUGGGGGGGGGGGGUAUAAUUCCCAUAGGAAUUACCCCUUUGGAGCCAGUUAAUGGACUUUGAUUGUCGUCAUAACGCAGCACACAGGAUGUGCUAGUACAAGUUCACACGGCACACAAACUGACACAUGUACAAUACACAGUGUGUCAGUGUGCAGUCAGUUUUUAUGCCAAAUUUGGCUUGUUAUGGAACAAAGUUGUGGGUGGAAAAAGCAAAU
ensembl:lncRNA